UAAUACGGAGGGUGCAAGCGUUGUUCGGAUUUAUUGGGCGUAAAGCGAGUGUAGGCGGUUUAGCAAGUCGGAUGUGAAAUCCCAGGGCCCAACCCUGGAACUGCACCCGAUACUGUUAGGCUAGAGUCCCGGAGAGGAUGGCGGAAUUCCCGGUGUAGGGGUGAAAUCCGUAGAUAUCGGGAGGAACACCAGUGGCGAAGGCGGCCAUCUGGACGGUGACUGACGCUGAGACUCGAAAGCGUGGGUAGCAAACAGGAUUAGAUACCCUGGUAGUCCACGCCGUAAACGGUGAGAGCUCGUCGUAGUGGGUAUUGACCCCUGCUGUGACCAAGUUAACGCAUGAAGCUCUCCGCCUGGGAAGUACGGUCGCAAGACUA
rnacentral:rRNA from 1 species